CACGUAGGGUGCGAGCGUUGUCCGGAAUUAUUGGGCGUAAAGAGCUCGUAGGCGGUGUGUCGCGUCGGCCGUGAAAACCUGCAGCUUAACUGUGGGCUUGCGGUCGAUACGGGCAGGCUCGAGUUCGGUAGGGGAGACUGGAAUUCCUGGUGUAGCGGUGAAAUGCGCAGAUAUCAGGAGGAACACCGAUGGCGAAGGCAGUGUUCUGGGCCAAUACUGACGCUGAGGAGCGAAAGCGUGGGGAGCGAACAGG
rnacentral:rRNA from 1 species